AGUGAACGCUGGCGGUAGGCCUAACACAUGCAAGUCGAACGGCAGCACAGGAGAGCUUGCUCUCUGGGUGGCGAGUGGCGGACGGGUGAGGAAUACAUCGGAAUCUACUUUUUCGUGGGGGAUAACGUAGGGAAACUUACGCUAAUACCGCAUACGACCUACGGGUGAAAGCAGGGGACCUUCGGGCCUUGCGCGAUUGAAUGAGCCGAUGUCGGAUUAGCUAGGUGGCGGGGUAAAGGCCCACCAAGGCGACGAUCCGUAGCUGGUCUGAGGGGAGGAACAGCCACACUGGAACUGAGACACGGUCCAGACUCCUACGGGAGGCAGCAGUGGGGAAUAUUGGACAAUGGGCGCAAGCCUGAUCCAGCCAUACCGCGUGGGUGAAGAAGGCCUUCGGGUUGUAAAGCCCUUUUGUUGGGAAAGAAAUCCAGCUGGCUAAUACCCGGUUGGGAUGACGGUACCCAAAGAAUAAGCACCGGCUAACUUCGUGCCAGCCGCCGCGGUAA
rnacentral:rRNA from 1 species